ensembl:lncRNA
AGACCCCAUUUUAGGGCUGACUGCCACUGAAGAAGGUUCUCUCUCUGGAGAUUGCUUCUUGUGAAGUUUCUUGUGAGUGUAGAACACCACGUCUUCCUGUUGAGCAUCAGGACCAAGAAUGCAAAGAAAAACACAAGAAGAAUAAAGAGACAAAAGUGACAAAAGCCUGGAGAGGAUGGGAGGCCCUGGGGAAAAGGACAUUGUUGCAGAGUAAUGCUUACACAGAGCCAAGGAUGUUUCAGCUCCUUGCGCCAUUCUUCCAGUGAGCAUCUGGGGUUGUACGAGGAGCUGGGAGCGGACAGAACAAGUACAGCUGACCCAGUCUAUCCAAAGGGAUGUCCUGUGUCAUAUAGCAUCAUGUUCACAAUAAAAGCUGGGAAAAAGGAGUAAGUGGCAGAACUUGAAGUCAUUUAGUGUGGAAAUUUUACUAUUUACAUGCAAGUUCACUUAAGAGCUUUUGAAUGGGGUUGGAAGUUUGUCUUCGUGGGACAGAAAUGUGUUGUUUGAGAGCCUGGUUUCCUUGAAGCUGGGGUUGAGCAGCAACUAUUUUCUCUGCACUUUUCCCAUAAUCAAUGAAAACUAUUUAAAAAAUAAAAAUAAAAAUAAAUUAAAAAUGAUUUAAUUGUGGUCACUUGAUCUUAAAAACUCAGAAAACAUUCUUAAUUAGCUGUGUAUAUGAAUGACAAUCACUGGGAAUGUCCGGUCUGGGUCUUGAUUUUCUACCAUUAAAAACUUGCAAAUCUGCUAUUUUUUUUCCCCACUGAAUAGAAGAUUCUGACAUUCUGUAUAUGAUUUUUAUUCAUCCAAUGUGUAGAAUUAUUUUAAAAUAAUGAACUACAAAAAUGAUAUAUGCAAAAUAAUAGUAUUUCUUUCAAGUAUGUUCCUCACAUUAGAGAUGGAAACCAGAAAUGGAAUUUCUAGAAUAUAGUAACUUUUGAAUUGAUUUUUAGAUUUCAUCUUUGGAAUGGGCUCAUCCAAAAACUCAGGAGGAGUGAAAUUGAAAAAUAUAGACAUAUAGCAAAUACUUCAAUAUUGUUUUUUCAACGUUGAAUUAUUUUACUUUCAUGUUAUUAUGCUCUAUGGUAAUGAUCGUCUUUGCUAUUUCCAUUUUGCACCUGGCAAAAUUCUUAAUUUAUUUUGAGAAUGCUGCUGUGUGCAAUAAAUUGCAUGUCUG